CCUACGGGUGACAGCAGUGGGGAAUAUUGGACAAUGGGGGGAACCCUGAUCCAGCGACGCCGCGUGAGUGAAGAAGGAUUUCGGUGUGUAAAGCUCUAUUAGCAGGGAAGAAAAUGACGGUACCUGACGAAGAAGCCCCGGCUAACUACGUUCCCGCAGCCGCCGUAAUACGUAGGGGGCAAGCGUUAGUCGGAUUUACGUGGAGUAAAGGGAGCGUAGUCGGUGUAACAAGUUUGAUGUUAAAGUUCGAGGCCCAACCCCGAGACUGCAUUGGAAACUGUUUAACUGGAGUGCAGGAGAGGUAAGCGGAAGUCCUAGUGUAGCGGUGAAAUGCGUAGAUAUUAGGAAGAACACCAGUGGCGAAGGCGGCUUACUGGACUGUAACUGACGUUGAGGCACGAGAGCGUGGGGAGCAAACAGGAUUAGAUACCCCUGUAGUC
rnacentral:rRNA from 1 species